rnacentral:rRNA from 1 species
AUUGAACGCUGGCGGCAUGCCUUACACAUGCAAGUCGAACGGCAGCAUGGAGAGCCUGCUCUCUGAUGGCGAGUGGCGAACGGGUGAGUAAUGCAUCGGAACGUACCGUGUAAUGGGGGAUAACGUAGCGAAAGUUACGCUAAUACCGCAUACGACCUGAGGGUGAAAGCAGGGGAUCGCAAGACCUUGCGUUAUACGAGCGGCCGAUGUCAGAUUAGCUAGUUGGUGAGGUAAAGGCUCACCAAGGCGACGAUCUGUAGCGGGUCUGAGAGGAUGAUCCGCCACACUGGGACUGAGACACGGCCCAGACUCCUACGGGAGGCAGCAGUGGGGAAUUUUGGACAAUGGGGGCAACCCUGAUCCAGCCAUGCCGCGUGAGUGAAGAAGGCCUUCGGGUUGUAAAACUCUUUCGGCCGGGAAGAAAUCGCACAGGCUAAUACUCUGUGUGGAUGACGGUACCGGCAUAAGAAGCACCGGCUAACUACGUGCCAGCCGCCGCCGUAA